ensembl:lncRNA
GCUAUAUUGCCCCCAAGCAUUAUUUCUCUAUGAUUUAUGAACAAACAGCUUUGAUAUCGUUUAGCUGAUAAGAGGAAUGUAUGAGGGAGCACUCAGAGGGCAGCGGAACAUCAAGAGAAAAAAAAGUACAGCGAUGCAUCCUAAAAGGCCCUUUAUUCCCGAUAGUCCACUAAUUUUGCCCAGGGCCCUGUUCAAAAGUAGUGUGCAAUAUAGGGAGUAGGCUGCCAUUUGGGAUUUAGCCUAGCUAAAACAAGCAGUGGCCACUCUCUACUAAAGGCCAACCUGAGGACGGAUUACAUUUAUCAGACAUUUCAAACGAAUAACACAACUGAUGUAAUUGCCACGAUGACGAUUAUAUUUUUCUCUCUGUCUGCAGCAUUUACGAUUCACACAAAUCGGACUUGAUACUUUAUUUUUCAAAAAUAUUUUCCAAGUGCCCAUGGAUGUAAAAAAUCGUAUAAUUUGAUGAAAAUGGUGUGGUAGCUUAGACAGUACUCUAAGACAAGAACACACUUGUUAAAAAUGUAUACUACUAUAAUAUGCUCAAUAUUAUAAUGAGAAACUGUGUAAAAAAAAAUGUUUUGAAAAGACCAUUGAGCACCCACUGUGUAAGUGACUGUUUGAGAUUGUGGCAAAUGUGGCUUUGAUAAGCAGCAUUUAUUUGGGUUCCUAAACCCUUCACACUGAAAAUCAACUGUUAUUCUUCUACUGCCCUGAGGGUUUGACAUCUAGUUUAUGUCAGAAGGAGAAAUGACAGCAGAAGACUGCAUUAUUGUUUUCCUUCUUUAAAGGGGCAAUCUGGGAUUGGUACAUCCAUUGUCUCUCUUUAAUACAGGGUGUCAGCAGCAUAAUUUCACUAUAAAUACAUGUUUGUGCAUUAACACCAUGCUCAGCUAAGGACACAAGAGUUAACUGCCAGAUAUGGCUAGCCUACAGUAAAUUCUGGUCCAGGGAGUUAGUGCGGCCUGCUAACACCGAUGCUUCCAUUCACACCCUGGACUAGAGCUAGCCUACAGUAUACAGUACUGAUGUCCUCCUCAACUGUAGACAGUUGGCUAGCCUUAAGGUUGCCUCUAUAUUAUGUUGCUGACUAUGUUAUUGAGCAGUCUAUUGCUAUGUCCCAAUUCUCCACCCUUCUCCUAAAUGGUGCACUUACACACUACCCGUCAUGGAUUUACAAGAAUAGGAAUGUUAAAUCCAUGCGAGAAGGUAGCAUCCUGUCUAGGGGCUGUACUUGUACACCAACCUGCCUCACACUACAGAAAAAGGGGCUAGGCUCCUGCCCCAUGGGCCGUUUUGGCUCAGAUAAGGCUUACUUACUAUGCGAGAAAGUAUGCAAGUGCACACUUCAGGGGACGGAUGGAGAAUAGGGAUGCAGACAUUUUUUCUAUGUGGAUUAAUACUAUGAGAGGUUAUAGUAUGUGAAGUUGUUAAAAGGGGCCCGGUCAUGACACGAUGCCCAUUAAUUCAUCUAUCUGCUUUGUACAACAUGAUUUUCUACUGCAUAUUUACAUGAUCCAAC